GAGAUGUUAGUAAAACAUUACACUGCUUUGUCAAGGCAGAAUUGCAAGUUAAACUCUUGCACAUCUUU
rnacentral:tRNA from 4 species